rnacentral:rRNA from 1 species
AUACGGAGGAUCCGAGCGUUAUCCGGAUUUAUUGGGUUUAAAGGGUGCGCAGGCGGGAGAUUAAGUCGGCGGUGAAAUUUUGCAGCUUAACUGUAAAAGUGCCUUCGAAACUGGGUUCCUUGAGUGUAGAUGAAGUAGGCGGAAUUUGUGGUGUAGCGGUGAAAUGCAUAGAUAUCACGAGGAACUCCGAUUGCGCAGGCAGCUUACUAAACUACUACUGACGCUCAGGCACGAAGGCGUGGGGAUCAAACAGGAUUAGAUACCCUGGUAGUCCACGCAGUAAACGAUGAUUACUCGCUGUUUGCGAUAUACAGUAAGCGGCUUAGCGAAAGCGUUAAGUAAUCCACCUGGGGAGUACGUUCGCAAGAAUGAAACUCAAAGGAAUUGACGGGG